UGCAAGUCGAGCGGUAACAUUUCUAGCUUGCUAGAAGAUGACGAGCGGCGGACGGGUGAGUAAUACUUAGGAAUCUACCUAGUAGUGGGGGAUAGCACGGGGAAACUCGUAUUAAUACCGCAUACGACCUACGGGAGAAAGGGGGCAGUUUACUGCUCUCGCUAUUAGAUGAGCCUAAGUCGGAUUAGCUAGAUGGUGGGGUAAAGGCCUACCAUGGCGACGAUCUGUAGCUGGUCUGAGAGGAUGAUCAGCCACACCGGGACUGAGACACGGCCCGGACUCCUACGGGAGGCAGCAGUGGGGAAUAUUGGACAAUGGGGGAAACCCUGAUCCAGCCAUGCCGCGUGUGUGAAGAAGGCCUUUUGGUUGUAAAGCACUUUAAGCAGUGAAGAAGACUCCAUGGUUAAUACCCAUGGACGAUGACAUUAGCUGCAGAAUAAGCACCGGCUAACUCUGUGCCAGCAGCCGCGGUAAUACAGAGGGUGCAAGCGUUAAUCGGAAUUACUGGGCGUAAAGGGAGCGUAGGUGGCUCGAUAAGUCAGAUGUGAAAUCCCCGGGCUCAACCUGGGAACUGCAUCUGAUACUGUUGAGCUAGAGUAUGUGAGAGGAAGGUAGAAUUCCAGGUGUAGCGGUGAAAUGCGUAGAGAUCUGGAGGAAUACCGAUGGCGAAGGCAGCCUUCUGGCAUAAUACUGACACUGAGGCUCGAAAGCGUGGGUAGCAAACAGGAUUAGAUACCCUGGUAGUCCACGCCGUAAACGAUGUCUACUAGUCGUUGGGUCCCUUGAGGACUUAGUGACGCAGCUAACGCAAUAAGUAGACCGCCUGGGGAGUACGGCCGCAAGGUUAAAACUCAAAUGAAUUGACGGGGGCCCGCACAAGCGGUGGAGCAUGUGGUUUAAUUCGAUGCAACGCGAAGAACCUUACCUGGUCUUGACAUAUCUAGAAUCCUGCAGAGAUGCGGGAGUGCCUUCGGGAAUUAGAAUACAGGUGCUGCAUGGCUGUCGUCAGCUCGUGUCGUGAGAUGUUGGGUUAAGUCCCGCAACGAG
rnacentral:rRNA from 1 species